rnacentral:rRNA from 1 species
GUGCCAGCCGCCGCGGUAAUACAGAGGGUGCGAGCGUUGUCCGGAAUCACUGGGCGUAAAGGGCGCGUAGGUGGCCCGACAAGUCAGUGGUGAAAGCUCGAUGCUCAACAUCGAGUCGGCCACUGAUACUGUUGGGCUGGAGCACUGUAGAGGCUCAUGGAAUUCCGGGUGUAGCGGUGGAAUGCGUAGAGAUCCGGAAGAACACCGGUGGCGAAGGCGGUGAGCUGGGCAGUUGCUGACACUGAGGCGCGACAGCGUGGGGAGCAAACAGGAUUAGAUACCCUGGUAGUCCACGCCGUAAACGAUGGGCACUAGAUGCUUGGGGGAGCGACCCCCUGAGUGUCGACGCUAACGCAUUAAGUGCCCCGCCUGGGGAGUACGGCCGCAAGGCUGAA